rnacentral:tRNA from 1 species
ACCUAAGAUAGUGGAUUUUGUGCAGUGUCCACACAGAUUGUCUGAUGAAAGAAUGAAGAGACGGUAUCGGCAUAGGCUUGUAGCUCAGGUGGUUAGAGCGCACCCCUGAUAAGGGUGAGGUCGGUGGUUCAAGUCCACUCAGGCCUACCAAAUCUCAUUUAUCCGGCGUUAUAAACAGACUCGCUUAUUUCAAUAAGCGUCGCCCGUUUAUGCCUGGUCUAAAUAAGAUUGCUGUGCAUCACGAUACGGAAUUUAUGGGGCUAUAGCUCAGCUGGGAGAGCGCCUGCCUUGCACGCAGGAGGUCGGCGGUUCGAUCCCGCUUAGCUCCACCAUACUCUUCGUCUGCAAUAACGUAUCUCAGAACACAUUGACAUGAGUGUGUUGUGACAUAUUUGCUCUUUAACAAUCUGGAACAAGCUGAAAAUUUGAAACAAUCAGCUUAUCGUCAGCGACGGUAAGACUGAUGAGUCUCUCAAUAGACUCCAACCUGAAGACACCUUCGGGUUGUGA